CAAGUCGAACGCACAUUGCGGUCCGCGGAUACUGUUCCUGGACCACGCCUGGCUGAGGGUCGUGCUAUAUUACCAGACUGCCGGUCGUCUUGUUGUCACUGUCGUCUAACGGCACACAACAACGAUGAUCUCGGCGACGAUGGGUAUCGGGGAACCAGUGGUGUUUUGUUACUGGCAACAUACGUUGUCGUGUGCAAUUCACGUUACACUGCCCGUUUCCUUAAAUCACUGUUCACACACUAAACCGAAUAACACUGUUUUGCACAGUUUAUUCACACAGUGCACAUUUACGUAUCGUAUUGCGGGACUCUCGUAUGCCAUACUGUAUUUAUGUUUUGUGUGUUAAUAAGUGCGGAGUUGUCGGACGUGUCCAUGAGUAUCAUGAUAACUGUGACGGUCGCAAGCUCUUUACAGAGUAUUGUAGUCACAUUAUGUUUGUUACCCGCGGACGUUCGUAGAUACUUGGCUUAGAGACAUACAGUUUACGAACAUUAAUAUUGUGCGCAUACACUAUAUGGGCUGUAACGCUUUAUGUGUGUAAAUGUUGUGCGACUAAGAAUUUAGAUUUGCGACCUCAGAUCAGGUGGGAUUACCCGCUGAAUUUAAGCAUAUCAAUAAGCGGAG
rnacentral:rRNA from 1 species